rnacentral:rRNA from 1 species
AGGAUAAACGCUGGCGGCGUGCCUAACACAUGCAAGUCGAACGUCUCUUCUUUCGGGAAGAGGAGUGGCGGACGGGUGAGGAACACGUGGGAACCUGCCCUUCAGUGAGGAAUACCGGCGAGAAAUCGCCGACAAGACCGCAUAGCCCUCUCUGGUGAGAGCCAGAGAAGGAAAGCCUCGCAAGAGGCGCUGGAGGAGGGGCCUGCGUCCGAUUAGCUAGUUGGUGGGGUAAGAGCCUACCAAGGCGUCGAUCGGUAGCUGGUCUGAGAGGACGAUCAGCCACACUGGGAUUGAGAACGGCCCAGACUCCUACGGGGGGCAGCAGUGAGGAAUUUUCGGCAAUGGGGGAAACCCUGACCGAGCAACGCCGCGUGCAGGAAGACGGCCUUCGGGUUGUAAACUGCUUUUCUUUGGGACGAGCAAGGACGGUACCAGAGGAAUCAGCCCCGGCUCACUACGUGCCAGCAGCCGC